GGCAUCAGAACAUCUGACGGUGCAUUUUUUAUUCCUAAUUCGUCCAAUGCAAGCACCAAAGAUACCGUCACUUGGAUGGUCUAGAAUUUGGAUUUUUCCUAUCAUUUGGAUGCUUCAGUACCAUAGAAUAAUCCUAGAUAUCAUGGCUUGUUCACUUAAAUACCAUAGAUUGGAUACUUAAAUACCAUGACUUGGAUACUCGAAUACCAUGAUUUGGAUGUCAAGAAUACCAUCAUUUGGACCUUGCCAUGAUUUUGUUUGCAUUCUUGGGACCUAGAAAACCUACAAGGUACAUGCUAGACAAAGCAUUAGUCCCAAAGACUAUGUUGUCACUCAAUCACCAAAAUCACAAACUAUGGCUUAAUGAGGCCAUGUUCGCUACAAUCUCUCCCUUUUUGAUGAUUGAUGACAACACAAUCAAAGCAAGCAUAAUUUUGCAAAAAUUUACCAAUUGAACCACAUACACUUCCUUUGAUGCUUACCAUCAUCCAACCAUCCAACCUCCCCCUUUGAACAUUCUCAUAUGACUCCCCCUUGAUGUACUUCUCCCUUUUUCUUGUAUUUCUCCCCCUAUGUAUAUUCACACAUAGGUACUUGCAUUGGCUCUUACUUUGAUUCCACAUUUCUCCCCCUUUGGAAUCAAAUCGCCAAAAAGGCAAUCUCUUCCAUUUGUAAGCCUAC
rnacentral:lncRNA from 1 species